rnacentral:tRNA from 1 species
GCCAUGAUAGUAUAAACAUUACUCUGGUCUUGUAAACCAAAAAUGAGGAAUUACUCCUCUCAAGGCA